rnacentral:tRNA from 1 species
UUCAUAAGAUGACUGAAGCAAG